rnacentral:rRNA from 1 species
GCUAUACAUGCAAGUCGAGCGGACAGAUGGGAGCUUGCUCCCUGAUGUUAGCGGCGGACGGGUGAGUAACACGUGGGUAACCUGCCUGUAAGACUGGGAUAACUCCGGGAAACCGGGGCUAAUACCGGAUGCUUGUUUGAACCGCAUGGUUCAAACAUAAAAGGUGGCUUCGGCUACCACUUACAGAUGGACCCGCGGCGCAUUAGCUAGUUGGUGAGGUAACGGCUCACCAAGGCGACGAUGCGUAGCCGACCUGAGAGGGUGAUCGGCCACACUGGGACUGAGACACGGCCCAGACUCCUACGGGAGGCAGCAGUAGGGAAUCUUCCGCAAUGGACGAAAGUCUGACGGAGCAACGCCGCGUGAGUGAUGAAGGUUUUCGGAUCGUAAAGCUCUGUUGUUAGGGAAGAACAAGUGCCGUUCAAAUAGGGCGGCACCUUGACGGUACCUAACCAGAAAGCCACGGCUAACUACGUGCCAGCAGCCGCGGUAAUACGUAGGUGGCAAGCGUUGUCCGGAAUUAUUGGGCGUAAAGGGCUCGCAGGCGGUUUCUUAAGUCUGAUGUGAAAGCCCCCGGCUCAACCGGGGAGGGUCAUUGGAAACUGGGGAACUUGAGUGCAGAAGAGGAGAGUGGAAUUCCACGUGUAGCGGUGAAAUGCGUAGAGAUGUGGAGGAACACCAGUGGCGAAGGCGACUCUCUGGUCUGUAACUGACGCUGAGGAGCGAAAGCGUGGGGAGCGAACAGGAUUAGAUACCCUGGUAGUCCACGCCGUAAACGAUGAGUGCUAAGUGUUAGGGGGUUUCCGCCCCUUACUGCUGCAGCUAACGCAUUAAGCACUCCGCCUGGGGAGUACGGUCGCAAGACUGAAACUCAAAGGAAUUGGCGGGGGCCCGCACAAGCCGUGGAGCAUGUGAUUUAAUUCUAAGCAACCCGAAUAACCCUAACAGGUCUUGACAUCCUCUGGACAUUCCUAGAUAUACGACGUCUCCUUUCGGCGGCAUAUGGACGGGUGUUGCAUGGUUUGUCCACAGCUCGGCUCCGCACAUGUAG